GCUGGCGGGUCCGUCAACGGCCGUUCCAGGCAGAGGAGAAGGCUUGAUUGCGCCAAAGACUCCAGACAUCGAAUCCUUGCUCCGAGGGGAAAUCAUCGAAAACGACGGUGAAUGUCCGACAGGCACCCGCUAUUGGUAACACUGGACAAGUCGGAUAUCCUUGCUUGGAUCCUUUUAAAGUUGCCCGAUAAACUGCUGAGAGUUGAUCUCUCCUCUUGUCCAAAGGUUUUUCGUUCAUUUUUACUUGUAAUACUGGCACUAGGGUCGAUGUAGUAGCUCCACAACAUAACCUUAAAGCCUGUGACUGGAUCCGGUCUAUUUUCCCAAGUCAUGUUUUUGAAGCAGAUUGGUAAAUAAUGCAUCCGUAAUCAAUAACAGAUGGAAUUAAAGUUAUAAAUAUAUACAUGUAUUAUUUUCAACGUUAACCUAUCAGCCCCCCAAUCAUUACCCCUCAAAGACCUCAUUAUAUUUAACACCUUUUUACUUUUUCCCCUAUUUUUUUAUUUUCCGGAAGGAACACUCCUGAAGGAAUAAAUAAAGUACUAUCUAAUCUAAUCUAAUCAAAUCUAUUUUGCUGAUGUGGGUUGACUAGUUCAUAUUUUUAUCAAACCAUAUUCCUAAAUAUUUAAAUACUUGUACCUCUUCUAUAUUUUCACCUUAGAGUUUUUAUUUGGAGCUUGUUUGGUACUUUUGUCUUUGUAAAAUGUAUGACUUUUGUCUUUCCAACAGAGAAUCUUAAACCUCAA